rnacentral:ncRNA from 2 species
CGCUCAUCCAGAGGGGCAGAGGGACCGGCCCGAAGAAGCCCCGGCAACCGGCGUCAGCGCUAUGCGCAGACGAUCACGGUGCCAAUUCCGACCCGUUCGAUUUCGCGGGAAAGAUGAGGA